GAUUGAACGCUGGCGGUAUGCUUAACACAUGCAAGUCGAACGGAAACGAUACUAGCUUGCUAGUAGGCGUCGAGUGGCGGACGGGUGAGUAACGCGUAGGAAUCUGCCUGAUAGUGGGGGAUAGCCCGAAGAAAUUCGGAUUAAUACCGCAUAAUCUAUUCGUAGUAAAGUGGGGGACUUUCGAGCCUCACGCUAUCAGAUGAGCCUGCGUAAGAUUAGCUAGUUGGUAGGGUAAAAGCCUACCAAGGCUACGAUCUUUAGCUGGUCUGAGAGGAUGAUCAGCCACAUCGGGACUGAGACACGGCCCGAACUCCUACGGGAGGCAGCAGUGGGGAAUAUUGGACAAUGGGGGCAACCCUGAUCCAGCAAUACCGCGUGUGUGAAGAAGGCCUGAGGGUUGUAAAGCACUUUCAAUUGUGAAGAAAAGUUAACGGUUAAUAACCGUUAGCCUUGACGUUAACUUUAGAAGAAGCACCGGCUAACUCCGUGCCAGCAGCCGCGGUAAUACGGAGGGUGCAAGCGUUAAUCGGAAUUACUGGGCGUAAAGCGUGCGUAGGCGGUUUAUUAAGUCAGAUGUGAAAGCCCCGGGCUUAACCUGGGAACUGCAUUUGAAACUGGUCAACUAGAGUAUGGUAGAGGAAAGUGGAAUUUCUGGUGUAGCGGUGAAAUGCGUAGAUAUCAGAAGGAACAUCAAUGGCGAAGGCAGCUUUCUGGACCAAUACUGACGCUGAGGUACGAAAGCGUGGGUAGCAAACAGGAUUAGAUACCCUGGUAGUCCACGCCGUAAACGAUGAUAACUAGCCGUUGGGGGAAUUUACCCUUUAGUGGCGAAGCUAACGCGUUAAGUUAUCCGCCUGGGGAGUACGGCCGCAAGGUUAAAACUCAAAGGAAUUGACGGGGACCCGCACAAGCGGUGGAGCAUGUGGUUUAAUUCGAUGCAACGCGAAGAACCUUACCUGGUCUUGACAUCCUGCGAACUUUCUAGAAAUAGAUUGGUGCCUUCGGGAACGCAGUGACAGGUGCUGCAUGGCUGUCGUCAGCUCGUGUCGUGAGAUGUUGGGUUAAGUCCCGUAACGAGCGCAACCCCUAUCCUUAUUUGCCAGCACGUCAUGGUGGGAACUAUAAGGAGACUGCCGGUGAUAAACCGGAGGAAGGCGGGGACGACGUCAAGUCAUCAUGGCCCUUACGACCAGGGCUACACACGUGCUACAAUGGGAAGGACAAAGAGCCGCGAAGCCGCGAGGUGUAGCUAAUCUCAGAAACCUUUUCGUAGUCCGGAUUGGAGUCUGCAACUCGACUCCAUGAAGUCGGAAUCGCUAGUAAUCGUAGAUCAGAAUGCUACGGUGAAUACGUUCCCGGGUCUUGUACACACCGC
rnacentral:rRNA from 1 species